rnacentral:rRNA from 1 species
GAUGAACGCUAGCGGCAGGCCUAAUACAUGCAAGUCGGACGGGAUUUGGGAGCUUGCUCCUAAUGAGAGUGGCGCACGGGUGCGUAACACGUAUGUAACCUACCUUAAUCAGGGGGAUAGCCUCUCGAAAGAGAGAUUAACACCGCAUAAUAUAUUUUUAUGGCAUCGUAGAAAUAUCAAAUAUUUAUAGGAUUAAGAUGGGCAUGCGGAACAUUAGCUAGUUGGUAAGGUAACGGCCUACCAAGGCUACGAUGUUUAGGGGAUCUGAGAGGAUGACCCCCCACACUGGUACUGAGACACGGACCAGACUCCUACGGGAGGCAGCAGUAAGGAAUAUUGGUCAAUGGGCGCAAGCCUGAACCAGCCAUGCCGCGUGCAGGAAGACGGCCCUAUGGGUUGUAAACUGCUUUUGUACCGGAAUAAACCCUUUUACGUGUAAGAGGCUGAAUGUACGGUAAGAAUAAGGAUCGGCUAACUCCGUGCCAGCCGCCGCGGUAA